rnacentral:rRNA from 1 species
GCUCCUGCGGGAGGCAGCAGUGGGGAAUAUUGCACAAUGGGCGCAAGCCUGAUGCAGCGACGCCGCGUGAGGGAUGAAGGCCUUCGGGUUGUAAACCUCUUUCAGCAGGGACGAAGCGAGAGUGACGGUACCUGCAGAAGAAGCGCCGGCCAACUACGUGCCAGCAGCCGCGGUAAGACGUAGGGCGCGAGCGUUGUCCGGAUUUAUUGGGCGUAGAGAGCUCGUAGGCGGCUUGUUGCGUCGACCGUGAAAACCCGGGGCUCAACUUCGGGCUUGCGGUCGAUACGGGCGGGCUAGAGUUCGGUAGGGGAGACUGGAAUUCCUGGUGUAGCGGUGAAAUGCGCAGAUAUCAGGAGGAACACCGGUGGCGAAGGCGGGUCUCUGGGCCGAUACUGACGCUGAGGAGCGAAAGCGUGGGGAGCGAACAGGAUUAGAUACCCUGGUAGUCCACGCUGUAAACGUUGGGCGCUAGGUGUGGGGGGCCUCUCCGGUUCCCUGUGCCGCAGCUAACGCAUUAAGCGCCCCGCCUGGGGAGUACGGCCGCAAGGCUAAAACUC